UACGUGCGGCGCGAGACCUUCCCGAACAAGUGAGCAUAGACGGUGAAAAACACUUUCACCAUCUUUGAGUGCACGAGCCGACAUUUCUAGUGGGCUUGUUGUGCUGAUCCACUCCACGGUUCUGACUCAACUAGUGUGAGAACACGUUGUCACAGCCAUCUUACAAACGCCAAUAUAUCCGAUCAUCCCACUUAUGCACGGGGGGGAAAAAAACAGCCAUCUAAAAAGGGAUCGCGUUCGCUCGCGCUGCGUUUUUCCUUCGCUGACGACAUUACAACACCCCUUUCGCUGCCCUCGCGAUCUGCUUUGAAGUGAGCCCCACAUUCAUCGCAUUCAUGUCUCGGCCUCAGCAGCAGCAGGAGCAGGAGCGGAUGGGGGAGGGGAAACCUAUUGAAGACUACAAGAGCAAGAAAUAUGCAUCAGACUGGACACGGACAGACUACAUGUGAGAGAGCCUCUGAAAAUGAUAUGCAGAAGAGAAUCCAAGGUAAUUUUCCACAAAAAAUCGGUCCAUUCCAGGUUAUUGACUGUGUCCAUUCGAAUCUGAAACACAGUCAAAGGACAUAUUUCCCUAUGUAUGGGCUAGUGAAUACUGGGCCAGUGCUCAAAUCAGAUGGCAUCAGCAGCUGCAAACUCAGAUCUAUCCUUGCCCUUCCUGAGGCCUGGCUUUGAUUACUGGGCCCCCCACCACGAGCCAACACAUGGCCAUGAGCGCAUACCAACUCAGUGCACAACCUCUGAGCGACCACUUGGAAACAAUCAAGAGGUAAAUAGCAUGAAAUAGAGGUGUUUGGAAACGGUUUGGAGAGAUCGUACAGAUUAGGAGAGUAUUUAGUAAUUGCUCAAAGCCAGAUUAUUCUUGCCUUUGGAACUUUCACAAAGGGCGUUACAGUCGGAGGCGAGCAGGAAUCCUUGCCACAUAAAGUCAUUUGGGGAACUGUAACCAGAGGUCAGAGUCACAUGGGUGAAUGGCAGAUUGUUCUAUCGUCGUUCUUCUACAUAUAGUGAAAGUCACGGUCCCAGAGGAAACUAUUGGAAUCAUUUGACAGCUGUGUUCGCCGAGCUUCCUGCAUGAGUUUUGAUGGAGGUUGUGAGUGGCAGCUGUAGCUGCCAUUCUGCUACCUGUUGAGUGGCCUUGGAACUCUUAGACAAAUGACAUGACAGGUGCACGUUCAGCUUAAGUACCUGCUCCUCUACAAAGCAGCUGCUGUGAUUGCUGGUAGGUUGCACAAGACAAAGAAAACAACGGCAAUUACACUAUGUUUGCUCAUGAUUUCCAGUUCUCUUCUCUUCCCAGUGCAAAACAUCGAAUAAACCCAUUAUCUUUUAAACUCAAAUAAACACACACUCAGGAAAUGGUUACAACUGCAAGGACAGAACGAUUUUUUUUGCAAAAUGAAUCUGGAUACAUUUAAUGCAGGCAUGUCAAAAUAGAGUAUAUAAGAAUAAUGAUAAAUCAAUGCAACGCUUGCAGUAACUUAAUUCACAGAAGCCUUUUCAGGUUUGUGCACACACAAUUCAGUUCAAUUCCUUCCAUAAUUGCACAACAGACAGAUUUUUUUUAAUUGUGAACUUUAGAAAAUACAAUUUAAAUUAAAAUAAAAAUGUCCUUCCAAUGCAAUUAUACAUUUAAUUACUAGUAAUAUUAAUUAACAACAUGUACUUACAGGUUUAGGAUUAGUGUUUUGUUGCAUGUCAUUUUGUAUUCAUAAUUUACUGUUAUUACUACAGUAAGUACAUGUAACAAGGACACUAAAAUAAAGUCUUACCAGAAUUGGCACAUGUGGUUUGCUAAUAAUGGUAACCUUGCAUAUAUUUGCCAUAAAUUUUUAUACCGAAGUGUGGAUAUGGGGUAGAUUUACAUUUCAGUUGUUAUACAUUUAAAAAGUGUCUCUUUGCGGUUUACAGUGUGUUUUGAAAAUAUAUGUUUUCCAUAACUUAACAGGUUAGUUCACCCAAAAAUGAAAUUUUUGUCAUUAAUUAUGUAGUUCCAAACUGGUAAGACCUUUG